UGGGGAAUCUUCCGCAAUGGACGAAAGUCUGACGGAGCAACGCCGCGUGAGUGAAGAAGGUUUUCGGAUCGUAAAAACUCUGUCUUUUGGGGCGAACGUGAGUAUGGUGAACAAUCAUAGUCAGUGACGGUACCAAAGGAGGAAGCCACGGCUAACUACGUGCCAGCAGCCGCGGUAAUACGUAGGUGGCAAGCGUUGUCCGGAAUUAUUGGGCGUAAAGAGCGCGUAGGCGGGAUAGUCAGUCUGUUGUAAAAGUGCGGGGCUCAACCCCGUGAUGGCAAUGGAAACAGCUAUUCUUGAGUGCAGGAGAGGAAAGUGGAAUUCCCAGUGUAGCGGUGAAAUGCGUAGAUAUUGGGAGGAACACCAGUGGCGAAGGCGACUUUCUGGACUGUGUCUGACGCUGAGGCGCGAAAGCCAGGGGGAGCGAACGGGAUUAGAUACCCCCGGUAGUCCUGGGCCGUAAAACGAUGGGUACUAGGUGUGGGAGGUAUCGACCCCCUUUCCGUGCCGGAGUUAACGCAAUAAGUACCCCCGCCUGGGGAGUACGGUCGCAAGACUGAAACUUAAAGGAAUUGACGGGGGUCAUAGCUGUUUCCU
rnacentral:rRNA from 1 species